rnacentral:rRNA from 1 species
AAGUCGAGCGGACUUAAAAAGCUUGCUUUUUAAGUUAGCGGCGGACGGGUGAGUAACACGUGGGCAACCUGCCUGUAAGACUGGGAUAACUUCGGGAAACCGGAGCUAAUACCGGAUAAUCCUUUCCUACUCAUGUAGGAAAGCUGAAAGACGGUUUACGCUGUCACUUACAGAUGGGCCCGCGGCGCAUUAGCUAGUUGGUGAGGUAACGGCUCACCAAGGCGACGAUGCGUAGCCGACCUGAGAGGGUGAUCGGCCACACUGGGACUGAGACACGGCCCAGACUCCUACGGGAGGCAGCAGUAGGGAAUCUUCCGCAAUGGACGAAAGUCUGACGGAGCAACGCCGCGUGAGUGAUGAAGGUUUUCGGAUCGUAAAACUCUGUUGUUAGGGAAGAACAAGUACGAGAGUAACUGCUCGUACCUUGACGGUACCUAACCAGAAAGCCACGGCUAACUACGUGCCAGCAGCCGCGGUAAUACGUAGGUGGCAAGCGUUGUCCGGAAUUAUUGGGCGUAAAGCGCGCGCAGGCGGUCCUUUAAGUCUGAUGUGAAAGCCCACGGCUCAACCGUGGAGGGUCAUUGGAAACUGGGG